UGGUUCCUGCAAUCUUCUUCAAUGUUUUGGACAGAGAUUCGAACUCGGAAGUUCGAUCUCGGUACGUCCAAGCUCCAGAAGACGCCAUUGACAUUUGAUAAGGGCACAACGAAACGAUGCUAUCUAAUUGCAAAUGUUGGUCAUGAUAUGGCGGGGAGGGAACUCUGCCGGUGAGAUGCCAAUGUUGUGGGGUUAGAUGUAUUCAUGCCAUGGAAAAUUGGAAAAUAUGCUGUAAUGUUAGGAUUUGCUUCAUAAAUUUGAUCAAUUUUAAUGGAGAGUUUGUUUGGAUGGUAGUUUAUUGUUAUUGCAAAAU
rnacentral:lncRNA from 1 species